UCUUUCCGCUGUAAACAGACGACAAAAUGGCAAGUAUACGUUUUUCAACGAAAAGAGCGAGGAGGUUUUGAAGGCAUUGGAUCGUGACAAGGACUCUUAAAACAUUAAACGUGUAGUUGAACAUGGUAUGAACUUGUACGACGAAUAUCUUCGUUCGAAUUACAUGGAUCUUAGUGAUCUCGUGGAAAAUCCAGCGGAACAACCAGUUAUUGAGUUACGCUUUUUUCUAUGCAUCUGUACGUCAGAAAAUCGGCGAGGAACUAAAGAAAAAAACUUUGGACAGUCUGAAGUAGGGAAUUUCCAAGCAUCUCUUAAGCACGUAAACCAUUAAUUUGAAAGACCAGCAAUUCUCAUCAAGUAAUGAAACCUUCAAGUCAAAAGUUAAGCAGCUUAAGCGAAGUGGACAUGGGAGUGUCGACCACAAACCUGUAAUAUCCGACGGCGAUCUGGAAAUAUUAAGUGGCAACAGCGUACCGUUUAAUAGUAACAUAUUAACUUUCAAUGUGGUUUUCAAAACAGGGUGUGGUUUAACUUAAUGCACUACCUUCUGAGGAGAGGUCAAGAGAAUUUAGGGUCAAUGACGAAGUCAACAUAACUAUAGCAACUGAUUCAACCGGGAGAAAGUUUAUACACCAGGUCAUCGCAGAAUCAACAAAAAAUCACGGGAUUGACGAUAUGCCUGAUGAUACCAUAGGAGAAGGAAAGAUUUACAAGCAGCCUGGCAGUACGUUUUGUCCAGUCCGAUGCUUUGAGAAGUACCUAUCUAAACUGAACCCUAAACUCGAAGCAUUAUGGCAAAGACCGUUAGAAUUAUUUCAAGAGACCAGUGACAUUUGGUAUUGUGCUGCACCAUUAGGAAAGAAUACUUUGACUGUGUUAGUCAGUGAACUUUUAUUUUUGUUAUCAAAAUAUAAAUGGUUAUUCAUUGCUAUAUUUAACUACAAUUAUUGAAUCUUAAAAUUGUUCAUGGUUCUUAUAAAUUGUUCAUGUUUGAAAAGCCUGUUCGGUAUAAUAAAAUUAAUAUUAUAUGUCUGACAGGGUGACCUCUUUCAAACAUGUAAUAUUUAUUUUAUUAUACCGAACAAGUGAUAAGAAAUUGACUGUGUUAACCUUCAAAUUCUCCUCGCUUAUCGUUGAAAAACGUUUGCUGGCAAUAUUGCUUGUUUACAACGUCAUAAAUUGCGUAAUCAAGUGAUAAGAAAUUGACUGUGUUAACCAGUGUACUUUUAUUUUUGUUAUCUAAAUAUAAAUGGUUAUUCAUUGCUGUAUUUAAAUACAAUUAUUGAAUAUUAAAAUUGUUCAUGGUUCUUAUAAACUGUUUAUGUUUGAAAAGUUUGUUCGGUAUAAUAAAAUCAAUAUUACAUGUCUGACAGGGUGACCCUUGUCAGACAUGUAAUAUUUAUUUUAUUAUACCGAACAAAUGAUAAGAAAUUGACUGUGUUUACCUUCAAAUCCUCCUAACUUAUCGUUGAAAAACGUUUGCUGGCAAUAUUGCUUGCCAUUUUGUCGUCUGUUUACAACGUCAUAAAUUGCGUAAUCAAGCGAUAAGAAAUUGAUUGUGUUAACCAGUGUACUUUUACUUUUGUUAUCAAAAUUUAAAUGGUUAUUCAUUGCUGUAUUUAAAUACAAUUAUUGAAUAUUAAAAUUGUGCACGGUUCUUAUAAAUUGUUCAUGUUUGAUAAGUUUGUUCGGUAUAAUAAAAUAAAUAUUACAUGUCUGACAGGGUGACAGUAAAUUUGUCAACUUUCGGAAAAAUACUGUCAACCUCGGCAUCGCCUUGGUUGACAGUAUUUCCUCAAGUUGACAAAUUUACUGUCACCCUGUCAGCCAUGUAAUAUUUAUAUAAAGUAUACGUUAUCAACACGCAACAUGUUUAAACAAGGUGACCCAUAUAGUGCCAAUUUUAAGGGCCCAGUAAAUUGUAAUUUGUUUGUGAUCAAUCAUUACCAUAAUCAAAUUAUCAAUAUAAGUGCAAGUCUAUCAAUGUUUAAUAGGGCUAACAUGAUCUGUAUAAUAGAAACUAGCAACUGGUGCAUACGAUAUAUCUGGUCUAAUGCUUGAAUACUGUUGUUGUUAUAUAUAUACAAUAUGCUUUGCAAUAUUGCUAGGUGCUUUAACUGUUUCCUACCAACAAUGCAAGAUGUUAAAUACACAGUUGUUGGUUUCCACUAACCGGACUGACCCUAAUGUUCGGUGCCAAUAAAACCCUUUUGUUUGAUAUUUUAGUCUGAUAUUUCGUUCUUGUUUGUUCUUAAUUCGAUCGUAAUAAAACACAAUCUGAAACGUAAA